rnacentral:lncRNA from 1 species
AUCCUUGAAUUGUAUAACACAUCAAUACCACUUUCGUUAUAACUUAGAUUUGAUGAUAAAUGGGAUAUAGGAUAGAAAUGUUGCAUCAUCAUCAUCAAGCAUAAAGUCAACAUCAAAACUUACCAUAGCCGGAUAUGGACGUUUUGAACCAGCAACAGAAUCAUAAUCACGGCCAUGCCCUUCACGGUAAUUUGGAGGAGGCCUCUCGCGGUAAUUUGGAGGAGGCCUCUCGUACCUUUGACUAUAGCCAUCAUCGGCAUAAGCUCUCCUUGCAGACAUGCGAG